UACGUAGGGUGCGAGCGUUUGUCCGGAAUUAUUGGGCGUAAAGAGCUUGUAGGCGGUUUGUCGCGUCUGCUGUGAAAACUGGAGGCUCAACCUCCAGCCUGCAGUGGGUACGGGCAAACUAGAGUGCGGUAGGGGAGAUUGGAAUUCCUGGUGUAGCGGUGGAAUGCGCAGAUAUCAGGAGGAACACCGAUGGCGAAGGCAGAUCUCUGGGCCGUAACUGACGCUGAGGAGCGAAAGCAUGGGGAGCGAACAGG
rnacentral:rRNA from 1 species